GAAUAAACGUGGACGUUAUACCGAGGAAGAAGGAGCCGCCUUUUGUCUUUUUCUUUUGUCCUUGCGGAAUUCCCAUCCAUCUCUGGCCAAGAGCUAGGCGGAGGGGACCAGAGAGAGGAGGGAAUUGCCAGAGCUGGCGGUCCAUCAUGAGGCCUCCCACGAGGUUGAGACCCCACAUAACAGCUGGAUUAUAAGCCUUUUGGACCGUACAGCUACCCUGGUGGCAGGGAGCUGCUUUUUGAGCAGUGACUGCUAACAGGGACUGAGCGGUAGCUUGCCUGAGCCCAAGGCAGGUCGGUUCUGGACAAGGACUUUCUUCGCAGUACUUUUGGACAGCCGAGGUCCCCAGGAAAGGGGUCUACUGGUUGGACAAUCAUUGGAGUGGACCUGCCGAACAACUCACAAGAUGUGACGAUAAACCACAUGGAAUUGGACAAAAAAAAACCUACCUCCCACUCAACCUCACGAUGAGCGCCUCCAAAAUUGUCAUCCUGUUUGCACUGAGCAGCCUGACAGCUGCAUGGAUCAUCCCUCAGCCAUGCCAAAACAUCUGGGUGACGCUGGCACAGAUGCUCCAACAAGAAAACAUAUGCCUGUCCACUGCAGCACCAAGAGGGCCUAUGUCCACCUGCCUGGUAGAGAUUCCAUUGCAGGUUGGAGAAUAUCCAUCCAGCUUUAACACACAUAUGCCUAACGAACUUCCCGAGUCACACAGCAUCUGACCACACCAGAAUCGUCGUCGGCGGGCUGUAAUGAUUAAGAACCCCAUAGAAGAGUGGCUACCAAGUUUGCCCAAAGCAGCUCAGGAACCCCAAGAAUUAGAGCUGUUGGGUUCCUCCCCAGCACCACACUGCAUUCACUUUACCUUCAGCCCAUUAUCUAGCACCAAAGCCUUUCACAACAUACUGCAGUAUCAGGAGGAGUUCACCGCCAAAAGGUGGUGUAAUAUUCUGAGCCAUAUUGCAGCAGACAACCCAUACCAUUCAAGUCCUAAAAGCCUCCCUAAGGGUCUGUUCUUAAUUUGCGGAGACCGGGUAUGGGCAGGGAUCUCUUCUCGGCUGUUAGGAGGUCCAUGUACCUUCGGGCAGUUGUCCAUGUUGGCACUCAACCACACCUUAAUUGGUUCGUAAAAACAAUUUGGCCAAGAAAAUUCAAAAGAGAAGUACUAACAAUUUGGACCCAAACUGUGAUUCUGAAAUUUUUCAUUGGACCAUGUCAAAAAGAGUUGCUGUGUCCCUGUUCCUUCCAUGGGUUGCAGCAGCCAAAACUCUAGGUGAAUUGGGCCACCUAGAGUGCUGGGUAGUCAAACAGGCAAACUCAACAUCCAUCGCCAUCAGCUCCCUCCUAGAAGACGAGGAAUUUACCAAGCAGGCCACACUCCAAAAUCAUGCUGCCAUAGACUUCCUCCUGUUGCUACAUGGACAUGAGUGUCAGGAAUUUGAAGGACUUUGUUGCAUGAAGCUAAUUUCGAAAGUUCCCAACAUCCAUGCAGCCCUCCAAGACAUGAAAAGCUUAAUCAGACAAGUGUAGCAAGAAUCCGAGGAUUGGUUCAGUGAACUUUUCAAAGGGUGGGGACUCACAGGGUGGUGGACUUGCAUAGUUAAAACAAUUUUGUCGUUUUUUGUUGCUCUUUUUCUUAUAGUGUUGGCGUUUGGAAUUCUAUGUUGCUUAAUUUUCAAAGCAAUUAACGACCUAAUUUCUACUACCUCAGAAGUCAACCACAUGGAGUUGGCAAACCAAAAGCAGUCUAAUUUGCCGGAAAAUCAUAAGUGGUGGGCAAGUCCAUAUUCUGAAUCAGAAUAAGCCUUUCUUUCAACUUUAUUAAACUAAAAAGUGGGAGAUGUUGUAUUGUACUAAGUUAUGGUUCAUAUUGCACUGUUAUGUUUUUAUAUUGCACUGAGAAAAUGGUUUGCCCUGCAUCUCCACGAGGCUUGUGAAGAUGGUUCAGCCCUUUCUUAGCCCCUCCCUGCUGGCGUGAUCUCAUUGGCUGCGAUUCGGUCUACCCCCGCCAUCUUCUCUCUGUCUCUCUUUUUCUUGAAAAUGGUUUAUGAAUAAACGUGGAUGUUAU